rnacentral:lncRNA from 12 species
GAGCCUCGAGGUCAAGAGGCAGGAGAGGGGGAUUCGGAGAGUGAAGAAAAGAGUGAAGGAAACACUUGGAAGGCUAAUGAGACUGCUCCCAACAGCUCUGUCAGAAGGAAUCAGAAGCACUGAGGACAUUGCUCACUCCCCUGUCAUCUACAAGGAGUGCUACUCAUGAG